CGGUAACAUUUCUAGCUUGCUAGAAGAUGACGAGUGGCGGACGGGUGAGUAAUACUUAGGAACAUGCCUUUGUGUGGGGGAUAACCAUUGGAAACGAUGGCUAAUACCGCAUAAUGUCUUUGGACCAAAGAGGGCUUUCGGGCUCUCGCGCAAAGAGUGGCCUAAGUGAGAUUAGCUUGUUGGUGAGGUAAAGGCUCACCAAGGCGACGAUCUCUAGCUGUUCUGAGAGGAAGAUCAGCCACACUGGGACUGAGACACGGCCCAGACUCCUACGGGAGGCAGCAGUGGGGAAUAUUGCACAAUGGGGGCAACCCUGGUGCAGCCAUGCCGCGUGUGUGAAGAAGGCCUUCGGGUUGUAAAGCACUUUCAGUUGUGAGGAAAGGUUGGUGGUUAAUACCCAUCAGCUGUGACGUUAGCAACAGAAGAAGCACCGGCUAACUCCGUGCCAGCAGCCGCGGUAAUACGGAGGGUGCGAGCGUUAAUCGGAAUUACUGGGCGUAAAGCGCACGCAGGCGGUUAUAUAAGCUAGAUGUGAAAGCCCCGGGCUCAACCUGGGAAUAGCAUUUAGAACUGUAUGACUAGAGUCUUGGAGAGGGGAGUGGAAUUCCAGGUGUAGCG
rnacentral:rRNA from 1 species